rnacentral:rRNA from 1 species
UAGGGAAUCUUCGGCAAUGGACGGAAGUCUGACCGAGCAACGCCUCGUGAGUGAAGAAGGUUUUCGGAUCGUAAAGCUCUGUUGUUAGAGAAGAACGUUGGUAGGAGUGGAAAAUCUACCAAGUGACGGUAACUAACCAGAAAGGGACGGCUAACUACGUGCCAGCAGCCGCGGUAAUACGUAGGUCCCGAGCGUUGUCCGGAUUUAUUGGGCGUAAAGCGAGCGCAGGCGGUUCUUUAAGUCUGAAGUUAAAGGCAGUGGCUUAACCAUUGUACGCUUUGGAAACUGGAGGACUUGAGUGCAGAAGAGGAGAGUGGAAUUCCAUGUGUAGCGGUGAAAUGCGUAGAUAUAUGGAGGAACACCGGUGGCGAAAGCUGCUCUCUGGUCAGUAACUGACGCAGAGGCUCGAAAGCGUGGGGAGCAAACAGG